GACGAACGCUGGCGGCGUGCCUAAUACAUGCAAGUCGAGCGCAGGAAACUGACGGAACUCUUCGGAGGGAAGGCAGUGGAAUGAGCGGCGGACGGGUGAGUAACGCGUAAGGAACCUGCCUCAAGGAUUGGGAUAACUCCGAGAAAUCGGAGCUAAUACCGGAUAGUUCAACGGACCGCAUGGUCCGCUGAUGAAAGGCGCUCCGGCGUCACCUUGAGAUGGCCUUGCGGUGCAUUAGCUAGUUGGUGGGGUAAUGGCCCACCAAGGCGACGAUGCAUAGCCGACCUGAGAGGGUGAUCGGCCACACUGGGACUGAGACACGGCCCAGACUCCUACGGGAGGCAGCAGUAGGGAAUCUUCCACAAUGGACGAAAGUCUGAUGGAGCAACGCCGCGUGAGUGAUGAAGGUUUUCGGAUCGUAAAACUCUGUUGUAAGGGAAGAACACGUACGAGAGGGAAUGCUCGUACCUUGACGGUACCUUACGAGUAAGCCACGGCUAACUACGUGCCAGCCGCCGCGGUAACAC
rnacentral:rRNA from 1 species